UAUAUAUACUCGCAGGAGUUCAUUAGCUCGCAAUGAGGAGGCUAGUGGAACUAGUAAUUCCAGUGGAGAUACAGUCAGAUGUUUUGAAGGAAUAAGUGGGUAGAGAAGUGCACGUAACCGCACAAAGAAAAUAAAUGUUCCCUUGUCCAAUGAGACACAUUGUGUCCAAUGAGACACACGUAACUACACAAUGAAAAUAAAUGUUCCCUUGUUCAUGGUCCGAGCAUUUUGGACCCCGUUAUUGAAAUUGAUGAAUUCUCUCCUGAAAUGAGACACAUUGGGUCCCACAAUAUAGGUAGUGGUAGUGAUGAUAACUCAGAUGCUAGUGCUAGACAAGUUGAAGCAGAUGAGAUGUUGGCUCGUGAGCUUCAAGAACAAUUAUAUAAUGAGGCACUGGGAGUUGGAGAUGGUGAAGUUUGUUCCUUUGCUCUACUUCUAUUUUUUUUUUAAUUAACUUGUGGCUAGAUCCUUUAUUACUCUUUAUUUUUUCUUUUAUUUUUUUGAAUAAUUAUUUACCUAUCAAUAGAUUGAUACAGACAUAGCAUUGGCAUAGCAACAAGAGGACAAUGUGUUUUCUAGUGGAAGUCACCCUGUUUUCAAUCCUCUCCUCUCCAUCAGAUGCAGUAGUAUUAUAGGCGGCUUUGUGUCCCUGAUAACUGUUCCAGAAAAUGGAAUGAUGUUGUUCAUUGCUUAACUUUGGAGGCAAAACAAACUUUUGUAGUGGAGAUGGACGAACUCGUGCAACAAGCUGAAUUGUACAGGAUUAGUUGGCACUUGUUACAUUUUUUCAAGGAUUAUAUAUUUUUGGAUAGAUGUGUAUGAAAAAUAUUUGGGUAGACUAGUAAUUAUAUUUUCGGAUAGAUGGGAAUGGAUAAAAAUUUAAAACAUAAUAACAAGUCAUGUUUUAAAUUUUUAUGCUAGAUGGAUGUGAAUCGGAAUUUUAAUUGGAGAAAUAUGUACUUUGGAAUUACUUGUGGAUGGAAACUUAUAAUAAUUGCUGACUUUUAUUAAACAGGUUCAGGACUGGAUGAUUUUUGUAUUUCAUUGAAUGUUCAUGAUUCA